rnacentral:rRNA from 1 species
GACGAAGGAUGCAAGCGUUAUCCGGAUUCAUUGGGCUUAAAGGGAGCGUAGGCGGCCUUAUAAGUCAGUGGUGAAAUCUCUGGGCUUAACCCAGAAAUUGCCAUUGAUACUGUAGGGCUUGAGUACAGUUGCUGUGGGCGGAAUAUGACAUGUAGUGGUGAAAUACAUAGAGAUGUCAUAGAACACCGAUUGCGAAGGCAGCUCACAAAACUGUAACUGACACUGAGGCUCGAAAGUGCGGGGAUCAAACAGG